rnacentral:rRNA from 1 species
GCCCCUUAGUGCUGCAGUAACGCAUUAAGCACUCCGCCUGGGGAGUACGACCGCAAAGGUUGAAAACUCAAAAGGAAUUGACGGGGACCCGCACAAGCGGUGGAGCAUGUGGUUUAAUUUGAAAGCAACGCGAAGAACCUUACCAAAUCUUGACAUCCUUUGACAACUCUAGAGAUAGAGCCUUCCCCUUCGGGGGACAAAGUGACAGGUGGUGCAUGGUUGUCGUCAGCUCGUGUCGUGAGAUGUUGGGUUAAGUCCCGCAACGAGCGCAACCCUUAAGCUUAGUUGCCAUCAUUAAGUUGGGCACUCUAAGUUGACUGCCGGUGACAAACCGGAGGAAGGUGGGGAUGACGUCAAAUCAUCAUGCCCCUUAUGAUUUGGGCUACACACGCGCUACAAUGGACAAUACAAAGGGCAGCGAAACCGCGAGGUCAAGCAAAUCCCAUAAAGUUGUUCUCAGUUCGGAUUGUAGUCUGCAACUCGACUACAUGAAGCUGGAAUCGCUAGUAAUCGUAGAUCAGCAUGCUACGGUGAAUACGUUCCCGGGUCUUGUACACACCGCCCGUCACACCACGAGAGUUUGUAACACCCGAAGCCGGUGGAGUAACCUUUUAGGAGCUAGCCGUCGAAGGUGGGACAAAUGAUUGGGGUGAAGUCGUAACAAGAGCCUAGCCG